UGAGGAAUAUUGGUCAAUGGGCGAGAGCCUGAACCAGCCAAGUCGCGUGAAGGAAGACUGCCUUAUGGGUUGUAAACUUCUUUUAUACAGGAAUAAAAAGGCCUACGUGUAGGUUAUUGCAUGUACUGUAUGAAUAAGCAUCGGCUAACUCCGUG
rnacentral:rRNA from 1 species